CAACCGCUCUGAAACGGAAGUCCAGAAAAAACUUUUUAAAUUAAAAAUUGAAGUUUUUUAAUUUGUGCAGAAACAAUUAUUUAUAUUAAAGACAAGAAGACCCUAUGAAUUUAUUAAAUUUUUAUUUAAUAUGUAAUUACUAUUAGAAAAAUUUUGGCUGGGGCGGCUAGAAAAUAUUAUAAACUUUUUAAAAAUAAAAUGAUCCAUUAUUAAUGAUUUUAUGUUAAAUACUCUAGGGAUAACAGCGUUAUAUUUUUUGAUAGAUCAUAUUGACAAAAAAGUUUGCGACCUCGAUGUUGGUACUGAUACUUUUUUAUGGAGACAUAAAGAAAAAAAG
rnacentral:rRNA from 1 species